CCCUUAGAUGUUCUGGGCCGCACUCGCGCUACACUGAUACGUUCAGCGAGUAUAUAACCUUGAUUGGAAAAUCUGGGUAAUCUUUUGAAUGCGUAUCGUGCUAGGGAUAGAUUAUUGCAAUUAUUAAUCUUGAACGAGGAAUUCCUAGUAAACGCAAGUCAUCAGCUUGCAUUGAUUACGUCCCUGCCCUUUGUACACACCGCCUGUCGCACAAACCGAUUGAAUGAUUCGGUGAAAAUUUUGGACAUCGAGAGUGGUGAUUAAUUUCGCUGCUCUUAAAUGGAAAGAAUUUAAACCUAAUUAUUUAGAGGAUUGUGAAGUCAUAACA
rnacentral:rRNA from 1 species